rnacentral:rRNA from 1 species
UACGGAGGAUGCAAGCGUUAUCCGGAAUGAUUGGGCGUAAAGCGUCCGCAGGUGGCUAUGUAAGUCUGCUGUUAAAGAGUGAGGCUCAACCUCAUAAGAGCAGUGGAAACUACAUGGCUAGAGUGCGUUCGGGGCAGAGGGAAUUCCUGGUGUAGCGGUGAAAUGCGUAGAGAUCAGGAAGAACACCGGUGGCGAAAGCGCUCUGCUAGGCCGCAACUGACACUCAUGGACGAAAGCUAGGGGAGCAAACAGG